GGCUGGCACCGUGCUCCAUUGUGCACAGCAGCUUUAUGAAACUGCUGUGCCUGUUGGUGAGCUCCUGCCCUCUGGGCUGGGAAGAUUGUUCUUCCUGCAAUUAGUAUUCAUGGUCAGCUGAGCAGAACUUAUACAACAGCUCUUCUCUGCUUUGAAGGUUAUGUUACACGGUUUCAAAGUGGCCAGAGGAGAUUCCUAUAUGAAGAAGAUAUCUGGCAAUAUCCAUUGUCUUCUUGUGUAUUUAAUGCUUGCGUUUCAGGUUGUAUUCCAAUGAUCUUUAUUGUCAUGAAGUUUCCAUUUCGAGUGAUGUUUGUCAAGUCAGCUCUGAGCAGGAUUUCCUACAAGAAAGGUAAGGACAGAAAAAAUACUCUGAAUGAUGAUGCCUGGGCUAGCAUUGCGUAAAUGCUUUCUUUGCUGAAAGUGCCUCCA
rnacentral:lncRNA from 1 species